ensembl:lncRNA
ACACCGGGUGCCCAGUUACAGCCGCGAUUAAUACUUCAGCCGACAUUUUGUUCAGUGAGUGAAUAAAGGUAGGUAGGAACCAAAGUGCCUGCCAAUGUUCCCUGGGAUCCACGCAAGCGAAGAGCGUCUACAUUCCGAUUGGCUGUCAGUGUUUGGUCGCUGAAGCGAAUAAUAGUCAUUUGCAUAAAGUUAAAAAGUUUUCAACUUCUUUUUGACGCUCUGGUCGCUCAACUUUGGCCGCUGGUAGCGUUGGUCGCUUUGGUCGCUUUGGUCGCUCUUGCCCAUAGAAAUGAAUGACUUCCGGCGAUUUGGUCGCUCAAUUCGCUUCUGGUGUGGACGGACAGUAACGCGGUUAGCGACGUGCUAGUUAGCGGUAGCAUUCUGUGUUAAUGUGCCCGCAUAUCGUAGUUUUGUAUUGUGACUUAAGUUAACGCAAAGCUAAUGCUAGUUCGAUAUGAAAUAGUGUUUGAUAUUGUGGCUCAUUGGAUAAUAUGCUUAAAGGAGCUGGACGUUGGAGAGAGGGGUUUCCAGCAGAUGGCCUUGCUGUUUUCUGUGUUUUCUUCCUUGUGACUUCGCCACCGCCAUUGCCCACGUGUGUGUUUGGAUUGCCACCGCCAUUGCCAUUAUCUUCGUGAGAAUAUCAUCCCCCAAUCCCUUUCUGCCCCUACUAAUUACACCCUGGAUUUCGUGAGUACUGACUUACACAUUGCACGUGCUUUUAUUUUGAGCUCAAGCUGAGUGAAGCGGCCAGUACAGUUUUUAGGCCCCACCACACACAAGCUUCAACUAACAGGCCUGCAACGGGUUAACCUAAUUUAAAGUGUUGUUGUUAAUUUGGUUGUGUGUGGUACAUUGAGUUUGCAUUGUUGUAAAUUGGAGAAUCCCGUGCAUCUGAUUUUAUUUUAUUUGUUUAUUUGUUUUCUUUUCCUAAAAUACAUUCGACUAGUAUUUCAUUUUGUGAAUAAAUAUGUGAUUGAAUACUUUUACAUUUAAAAUACAGUUGUGGUGGUCAUUUAUUAAAAUUAUCUAACAGUAAUAUAUGAAUAAAAGUUGUAGUUUCCUACAACGAGCCCAGGCCCAGUCUUAUUGUAUUAACCACUCUAGAUUUAUUAUUUAACUACAUGGGACAAGGGUUACACAUGUAUGCACUUAUUCCGAAUAGAUUGGGGUUUAACUUAGGGCAGCCGCAGUAGUUCUAAUGGUCCACUGAGCUCCGUCGGUACUUUUAAGCACACCGAACUUCACCGCUGUCAAGGAAAGUGGAUUUAUUGCCUG